AUUGAACGCUGGCGGCAUGCCUUACACAUGCAAGUCGAACGGCAGCACGGGAGCAAUCCUGGUGGCGAGUGGCGAACGGGUGAGUAAUAUAUCGGAACGUGCCCGGUCGUGGGGAUAACGUAGCGAAAGCUACGCUAAUACCGCAUACGAUCUACGGAUGAAAGCGGGGGAUCGCAAGACCUCGCGCGAUUGGAGCGGCCGAUAUCAGAUUAGGUAGUUGGUGAGGUAAAGGCUCACCAAGCCGACGAUCCUUAGCUGGUCUGAGAGGAUGAUCAGCCACACUGGGACUGAGACACGGCCCAGACUCCUACGGGAGGCAGCAGUGGGGAAUAUUGGACAAUGGGCGAAAGCCUGAUCCAGCAAUGCCGCGUGAGUGAUGAAGGCCUUAGGGUUGUAAAGCUCUUUUACCCGGGAUGAUAAUGACAGUACCGGGAGAAUAAGCUCCGGCUAACUCCGUGCCAGCAGCCGCGGUAAU
rnacentral:rRNA from 1 species